rnacentral:rRNA from 1 species
GAUGAACUGUGGGUAGCGGAGAAAUUCCAAUCGAACCCGGAGAUAGCUGGUUCUCCCCGAAAUAGUUUUAGGACUAGCCUCAAGUUAGAUACCUGGAGGUAAAGCACUGAAUAGCCUAGCGGCCGAGAGGUUAGCGAAGCUUAUCAAACUCAGAAUGCCAGAGUAUUGAUGCUUGGGAGUCAGACAGUGUCAGAUAAAUGUCAUUGUCAAAAGGGAAACAGCCCAGAUCUACAGCUAAGGUCCCAAAGUCAGGUUAAGUGGAAAACGAUGUGAAGAUACGCAGACAACCAGGAUGUUGGCUCAGAAGCAGCCACUCAUUCAAAGAGUGCGUAAUAGCUCACUGGUCGAGCGUCUUUGCGCGGAGAAUUUAACGGGGCUAAACCUGACACCGAAGCUUAGGCAGCAUGUUUACAUGCUGGGUAGGGGAGCGUUGUAUACGCGGUGAAACAGUAGCGCAAGCGGCUGUGGAGUGUAUAGAAGUGAGAAUGCCGGAAUGAGUAGCGCGAAUGCAGUGAGAAUCUGCAUGGCCGAAAGCCUCAGGUUUUUGGAGGAAGGUUCGUCCGCUCCAAGUUAGUCGGGAGCUAAGGUGAGGCCGGAAGGCGUAGCCGAUGCACAGACGGUAGAGAUUCCGUCACCACCAAAAGAGUUAAGCACAGGGACACAUUUGAAGUCUCAGAGCCGGGUGUUGGUUCCGGUAGAGAUCGAGGGAAAUUAGUACCGAAGUCUGGGAUGGAAGAUGGCGAGAAAAGCUGUGUGUAUUUCUGAGGUGCCCGUACCGCAAACCGACACAGGUAGGUAGGAAGAAGAUUCUAAGGCCAACGGGAGAAGGGUUGUUAAGGAACUCGGCAAAUUGACCCCGUAACUUCGGGAGAAGGGGUGCUGCAGCAAUGCAGCCGCAGAGAAUCGGCCCAAGCAACUGUUUACCAAAAACACAGGUUUGUGCUAAAUCGAAAGAUGACGUAUACGAGCUGACGCCUGCCCGGUGCUGGAAGGUUAAAAGGAGAUGUGCAAGCAUUGAAUUGAAGCCCCAGUGAACGGCGGCCGUAACUAUAACGGUCCUAAGGUAGCGAAAUUCCUUGUCAGGUAAGUUCUGACCCGCAUGAAAGGCGUAAUGAUUUGGGCACUGUCUCAACAGCCCGCCCGGCGAAAUUGUAGUACCGGUGAAGAUGCCGGUUACCCGCGACAAGACGGAAAGACCCCAUGGAGCUUUACUGUAGCCUAAUAUUGGGUUUCGAUGUUGCAUGCACAGGAUAGAUGGGACACUGGGAAACAAUCGCUUUGGCGGUUGCGGAGUGGCCGUUGGGAUACCAUCCUUGCGAUAUUGGAAUUCUAACCUGCGGCUCUGAAUCGAGUCGGGGGACAUUGUUAGGUGGGCAGUUUGACUGGGGCGGUCGCCUCCUAAAAAGUAACGGAGGCGUUCAAAGGUUCGCUCAGCUUGAACGGAAAUCAAGCAAAAGAGUGCAAACGCAGAAGCGAGCCUAACUGCGAGACUGACGGGUCGAGCAGUAACGAAAGUUGGAGUUAGUGAUCCGGUGGUAUGUGAGUGGAAAUGCCAUCGCUCAACGGAUAAAAGUUACCCUGGGGAUAACAGGCUGAUCUCCCCCAAGAGUCCACAUCGACGGGGAGGUUUGGCACCUCGAUGUCGGCUCAUCGCAUCCUGGGGCUGUAUUCGGUCCCAAGGGUUUGGCUGUUCGCCAAUUAAAGCGGUACGCGAGCUGGGUUCAGAACGUCGUGAGACAGUUCGGUCCCUAUCUGUCGUGGGCGCAGGAUAUUUGAUGGGAGCUGUUCCUAGUACGAGAGGACCGGAGCGGACGUACCUCUGGCGCACCAGUUGUUCUGCCAAGAGCAUAGCUGGGCAACUAUGUACGGAUCGGAUAAACGCUGAAAGCAUCUAAGCGUGAAGCCGACCCAAAGAUAAGAUAUCCCAUUGUUUCAAACAAGUAAGACCCCUUGAAGACUACAAGGUUGAUAGGCACGAUGUGUAAGUGGAGCGAUCCAUUCAGCAAGCGUGUACUAAUAGGUCGAGGGCUUGACCAC